rnacentral:rRNA from 1 species
UACGUAGGCAGCAAGCGUUGUUCGGAAUUACUGGGCGUAAAGAGUGUGUAGGCGGUGCUCUAAGUUUGGUGUGAAAUCUCCCGGCUCAACUGGGAGGGUGCGCCGAAAACUGGAAUGCUUGAACGUGGGAGAGGAAAGCGGAAUUCCUGGUGUAGCGGUGAAAUGCGUAGAUAUCAGGAGGAACACCUGCGGUGUAGACGGCUUUCUGGACCAUUGCUGACGCUGAGACACGAAAGCGUGGGUAGCAAACAGG